CCUGGGGAGUACGGCCGCAAGGUUAAAACUCAAAUGAAUUGACGGGGGCCCGCACAAGCGGUGGAGCAUGUGGUUUAAUUCGAUGCAACGCGAAGAACCUUACCUGGUCUUGACAUCCACAGAACUUUCCAGAGAUGGAUUGGUGCCUUCGGGAACUGUGAGACAGGUGCUGCAUGGCUGUCGUCAGCUCGUGUUGUGAAAUGUUGGGUUAAGUCCCGCAACGAGCGCAACCCUUAUCCUUUGUUGCCAGCGGUUAGGCCGGGAACUCAAAGGAGACUGCCAGUGAUAAACUGGAGGAAGGUGGGGAUGACGUCAAGUCAUCAUGGCCCUUACGACCAGGGCUACACACGUGCUACAAUGGCAUAUACAAAGAGAAGCGACCUCGCGAGAGCAAGCGGACCUCAUAAAGUAUGUCGUAGUCCGGAUUGGAGUCUGCAACUCGACUCCAUGAAGUCGGAAUCGCUAGUAAUCGUAGAUCAGAAUGCUACGGUGAAUACGUUCCCGGGCCUUGUACACACCGCCCGUCACACCAUGGGAGUGGGUUGCAAAAGAAGUAGGUAGCUUAACCUUCGGGAGGGCGCUUACCACUUUGUGAUUCAUGACUGGGGUGAAGUCGUAACAAGGUAACCGUAGGGGAACCUGCGGUUGGAUCACCUCCUUA
rnacentral:rRNA from 1 species